CGAAGGGUGCAAGCGUUAGUCGGAAUUACUGGGCGUAAAGCGUGCGUAGGCGGUUUUCUAAGUCUGCCGUGAAAGCCCCGGGCUCAACCUGGGAAUGGCGGUGGAUACUGGAAAGCUGGAGUGCGGUAGAGGAGGGUGGAAUUCCCGGUGUAGCGGUGAAACGCGUAGAGAUCGGGAGGAACAUCAGUGGCGAAGGCGGCCCUCUGGACCAGCACUGACGCUGAGGCACGAAAGCGUGGGGAGCAAACAGGAUUAGAUACCCUGGUAGUCCACGCCCUAAACGAUGCGAACUGGACGUUGGGCACAACUCGGUGCUCAGUGUCGAAGCUAACGCGUUAAGUUCGCCGCCUGGGGAGUACGCUCGCAAGAGUG
rnacentral:rRNA from 1 species